AUGUUUAUGACAAAAGAUUUUCCCUUUGGGAUAAAUGAAGGAAAGAAAGGAGUCCCCGCCCCGAGAGAGGACAAGAAAGCGCCCCCUGUAGAGGAUCCUGCUGGCAGAAAAAGGAGGAGUCUUGAGGAGGACCCGGCAAGAGGCCUGUCCUCCUCAACAGCCAGUCCGGAACCUGACGGAACAGGGGACCACGCGGAGCCCCGAAAACCCGAGCUGCUCCGCCAGCGACUGUUCCAGCAGGUGUAUGUUCUGAUGGAGGGACUGGUGGACUCUUUCUGUGACCUGCAUGAUGAAUGCCUCCACAACCAGUCACACAGCCAGAAAGCAUAAAUGUCCUUCUUCAGCUUCCUUCUUUCAUUCACAUGACCCUCUUAUUCUUUUUUUUUUUUUAAAGCUCCACGCCUUUUUUUUUUUUUUUUUUGCCUUCAUAAGCGACCCAUCUGUAUGCGAGCGCUCUAAAUUCAGCCUGAUCAUACAGAGCUGAACGACUGACUCAAGGGCAUUUGGUGACAAUGGAUGUCAAAUCGACCAGGG
ensembl:lncRNA